rnacentral:rRNA from 1 species
UACGUAGGGGGCAAGCGUUGUCCGGAUUUAUUGGGCGUAAAGAGCGUGUAGGCGGCCAGAUAGGUCCGUUGUGAAAACUCGAGGCUCAACCUCGAGACGCCGAUGGAAACCAUUUGGCUAGAGUCCGGAAGAGGAGAGUGGAAUUCCUGGUGUAGCGGUGAAAUGCGCAGAUAUCAGGAAGAACACCAAUGGCGAAGGCAGCUCUCUGGGACGGUACUGACGCUGAGACGCGAAAGCGUGGGGAGCGAACAGG